AUCGUGCAGCAAUUUCUGCAGAAUAUACAUAAUGCCUUAUAUAUAUAUAUUUGUUUAUUUAUUUAUUAUAUUGAUCAUAUUGAUUAUUAAAUUUGAAGAUAAUAAGUUUGAAUAGUCAUGAGUCAUAACAGAGAAAUUCAUAGCCUUGCACUUUUUUUUAAUGCUUCUUUAAUUUCUCUUCAGUUGUCAAAGUUGCAUACAGAAAAAUAUAGUAUAUGAGCUCUGAGCUCGUUUCACUCCUAUCGUUCCGCUGUGCUCGUUCUUCCGUACUCAUUCUCCUAUACUCGCUCCCUGUGCUCGUUCCCUGUGAUCGUUCCCUGUGCUCGUUCCCUGUGCUCGCUCCGUUUUGCUCGGUCCCCUGUGCUCAUUCCCUUUCGCUCGUUCCCCUCUGUUUCCUUUAUAAGUGCUUAAAGCAAUUGAGCCCGAGAAGAAUUAAGUCAGUGUUAAAUAGGAGCUCAAGACGAUCGGACGUUAAUUGUUUAUCUGUGCCAAAUCAGAGGGAGUCUUUCCAAAUUGUCACUCGAUGGGAUUCAUUGCUGCCGCUGCUAUCAACAACCACUUAUUGGACUGCAUCAACAUUUCAACCAAACCCUGUGACAACUUGAGUGCGCGAGUGAGAAGAUGCCCUUGCCGUCGGCACCGCGUCGUCCACUGCAUUUGGCAAUGCGAUGAGAAUCCG